UUGCUGUCGUAGAACUUGCUCUAGA
rnacentral:piRNA from 1 species